UUAGCUUAGUUGGUAGUGCGGCAGCCUUGUAAGCGCUAGACCGCGGGUUCGAUUCCCGCA
rnacentral:tRNA from 1 species